CCUCCUGUCAGGAAACUACCUAGUGACGGACUCCAUUUCCCAGGAGACCAUGGGUAGAUUAUCCAUAUGACACACUGAUCUUUCUCUCUCCUUAUCAUUGCAGGUUUAUUUUGCUCAACAAGUCCUGCCUGCUAAAUUAUUGGGUGACCCCCUUUAUGUUAAAGUGAUAAUUCACUGUACAACUUUCUUUAUUAAAAUUGUGUGGCUGACACCACCUUUCUGUUUCAUUUGUGGGUGACCCCCACCACAACUACUGCCAACAAUAUUUUGCGUGGUUGACACCACCCUGCUUAUUUUGUGGGUGAUCCCCACUUUCUUUUACUACUUAACUCCACCAUAACUACUGCCUAUAUUAAAAAAAAUAAAAAAUGUAAAAAAAAAUUGGCAGAUACCACUUUGUUAUUUGUGAGUGACCCCCACUUUAGUUUGACAGGGUCCUCUAUAGUGGGCAACCCUACCUCGUUGGGCUUACUUGUCUGAAUAUAUAUCUACGUUUUAUUGCUGUUCACCAUUUGUUAAAGGGUGACCCCCUUUCUUAAUUGUGCCUAAUAAUUGUGGGUGACCCCCACUGGUUUUUCAGUUCGUGUGGGUGACCCCCACCUCUCCAUUAUACUAGUUGAGUUGCCUCAUUUUUUAUUUAUUUUUUGUCACUUAUCAACACUGCCUUAUAUAAUUUCACUACACUUACCUGUAGUUACUAAUCUGCCCUUUGUCAAUCCCAUAAAUGAAACAUUAAAAAUGUCGGAACACCAAGACCCUGCUAUUUCUGCAGAACUUCGGGAUUGGCUAUUUGCCACCAUUGCAGAGUCCAUUCCCAAAGCUCUGGCAGCUUAUCAUGAGCAAUCUACUACAGAGGUUCAUCCCUCUACACGCCAACCCUCUGACUCAGAGGAUUCUCACCUUUCAGACCAAGAAAGUGCCCCGCGCAAAAGACCCUGGAAAGGGAAUGGCGCUACUGCAGGCAAAGGCAAAGCUCCCGCGAAAAUCCUCAAACAUUUACUAUGUAGAACCCGUCAGACCCUCUAGAGGUCUCUACUUCCAGAUUAGCUGGUCAUAUUUUAAACGACUAUGACACCACCUACUCUGAUGAGGAUCCUACGGUGAAUAUGCCCCAGGAUUCCUC